UGGGGAAUAUUGCACAAUGGGCGCAAGCCUGAUGCAGCCAUGCCGCGUGUAUGAAGAAGGCCUUCGGGUUGUAAAGUACUUUCAGCGGGGAGGAAGGGAGUAAAGUUAAUACCUUUGCUCAUUGACGUUACCCGCAGAAGAAGCACCGGCUAACUUCGUGCCAGCAGCCGCGGUAAUACGAAGGGUGCAAGCGUUACUCGGAAUUACUGGGCGUAAAGCGUGCGUAGGUGGUUCGCUAAGUCUGAUGUGAAAGCCCUGGGCUCAACCUGGGAACUGCAUUGGAUACUGGCGGGCUAGAGUGCGGUAGAGGGCAGUGGAAUUCCUGGUGUAGCAGUGAAAUGCGUAGAGAUCAGGAGGAACACCCGUGGCGAAGGCGACUGCCUGGACCAGUACUGACACUGAGGCACGAAAGCGUGGGGGAGCAAACAGGAUUAGAUACCC
rnacentral:rRNA from 1 species